AUUGAACGCUGGCGGAAUGCUUUACACAUGCAAGUCGAACGGCAGCACGGGGCAACCUGGUGGCGAGUGGCGAACGGGUGAGUAAUACAUCGGAACGUGCCCAAUCUGGGGGGAUAACGUAGCGAAAGUUACGCUAAUACCGCAUACGAUCUACGGAUGAAAGCGGGGGAUCGCAAGACCUCGCGCGAUUGGAGCGGCCGAUGUCAGAUUAGGUAGUUGGUGGGGUAAAGGCUCACCAAGCCGACGAUCUGUAGCUGGUCUGAGAGGACGACCAGCCACACUGGGACUGAGACACGGCCCAUACUCCUACGGGAGGCAGCAGUGGGGAAUUUUACGCAAUGGGCGAAAGCCUGACGUAGCGACACCGCGUGAGCGAAGAAGCCCCUUGGGGUGUAAAGCUCUGUCAGCUGGAACGAAAAAAUGACGGUACCAGCAGAGGAAGCA
rnacentral:rRNA from 1 species